rnacentral:rRNA from 1 species
UGGGGAAUAUUGCACAAUGGGCGAAAGCCUGAUGCAGCAACGCCGCGUGAGCGAUGAAGGCCUUCGGGUCGUAAAGCUCUGUCCUCAAGGAAGAUAAUGACGGUACUUGAGGAGGAAGCCCCGGCUAACUACGUGCCAGCAGCCGCGGUAAUACGUAGGGGGCUAGCGUUAUCCGGAAUUACUGGGCGUAAAGGGUGCGUAGGUGGUUUCUUAAGUCAGAGGUGAAAGGCUACGGCUCAACCGUAGUAAGCCUUUGAAACUGGGAAACUUGAGUGCAGGAGAGGAGAGUGGAAUUCCUAGUGUAGCGGUGAAAUGCGUAGAUAUUAGGAGGAACACCAGUUGCGAAGGCGGCUCUCUGGACUGUAACUGACACUGAGGCACGAAAGCGUGGGGAGCAAACAGGAUUAGAUACCC